AGAGUUUGAUCAUGGCUCAGGACGAACGCUGGCGGCGUGCUUAACACAUGCAAGUCGAACGGAAAGGCCCUUCGGGGUGCUCGAGUGGUGAACGGGUGAGUAACACGUGGGUGAUCUGCCCUGCACUUUGGGAUAAGCCUGGGAAACUGGGUCUAAUACCGAAUAUGACCAUGCGCCUCCUGGUGUGUGGUGGAAAGCUUUUGCGGUGUGGGAUGGGCCCGCGGCCUAUCAGCUUGUUGGUGGGGUAAUGGCCUACCAAGGCGACGACGGGUAGCCGGCCUGAGAGGGUGACCGGCCACACUGGGACUGAGAUACGGCCCAGACUCCUACGGGAGGCAGCAGUGGGGAAUAUUGCACAAUGGGCGCAAGCCUGAUGCAGCGACGCCGCGUGAGGGAUGACGGCCUUCGGGUUGUAAACCUCUUUCAGCACAGACGAAGCGCAAGUGACGGUAUGUGCAGAAGAAGGACCGGCCAACUACGUGCCAGCAGCCGCGGUAAUACGUAGGGUCCGAGCGUUGUCCGGAAUUACUGGGCGUAAAGAGCUCGUAGGUGGUUUGUCGCGUUGUUCGUGAAAACUCACAGCUUAACUGUGGGCGUGCGGGCGAUACGGGCAGACUUGAGUACUGCAGGGGAGACUGGAAUUCCUGGUGUAGCGGUGGAAUGCGCAGAUAUCAGGAGGAACACCGGUGGCGAAGGCGGGUCUCUGGGCAGUAACUGACGCUGAGGAGCGAAAGCGUGGGGAGCAAACAGGAUUAGAUACCCCGGUAGUCC
rnacentral:rRNA from 1 species